rnacentral:rRNA from 1 species
CCAAUAGCGUAUAUUAAAGUUGUUGCAGUUAAAAAGCUCGUAGUUGAAUUUCGGGAUCAAUAUGUUGGUCGUGCCUUGGUACGUACUAUCUUAUUGGUUUCUCCCUUCUGACGAACCAUGAUGUCAUUAAUUUGGUGUCAUGGGGAAUCAGGACUAUUACUUUGAAAAAAUUAGAGUGUUUAAAGCAGGCUCACGCUUGAAUAUAUUAGCAUGGAAUAAUGAAAUAGGACGUUUGAUUCUAUUUUGUUGGUUUCUAGGAUCGACGUAAUGAUUAAUAGGGAUAGUUGGGGGCAUUAGUAUUCAAUUGUCAGAGGUGAAAUUCUUGGAUUUAUUGAAGACUAACUACUGCGAAAGCAGUUGCCAAGGAUGUUUUCAUUAAUCAAGAACGAAAGUUAGGGGAUCGAAGACGAUCAGAUACCGUCGUAGUCUUAACCAUAAACUAUGCCGACUAGGGAUUGGAUGAUGUUAAUUUUUUAAUGACUCAUUCAGCGCCUUACG